rnacentral:rRNA from 1 species
ACUCCUACGGGAGGCAGCAGUGGGAAAUUUUGGACAAUGGGCGAAAGCCUGAUCCAGCAAUGCCGCGUGUGUGAAGAAGGCCUUCGGGUUGUAAAGCACUUUUGUCCGGAAAGAAAUCCUUGGCUCUAAUACAGUCGGGGGAUGACGGUACCGGAAGAAUAAGCACCGGCUAACUACGUGCCAGCAGCCGCGGUAAUACGUAGGGUGCGAGCGUUAAUCGGAAUUACUGGGCGUAAAGCGUGCGCAGGCGGUUUGCUAAGACCGAUGUGAAAUCCCCGGGCUCAACCUGGGAACUGCAUUGGUGACUGGCAGGCUAGAGUAUGGCAGAGGGGGGUAGAAUUCCACGUGUAGCAGUGAAAUGCGUAGAGAUGUGGAGGAAUACCGAUGGCGAAGGCAGCCCCCUGGGCCAAUACUGACGCUCAUGCACGAAAGCGUGGGGAGCAAACAGGAUUAGAAACCCUAGUAGUCCCAUG